rnacentral:rRNA from 1 species
GAUGAACGCUGGCGGCGUGCCUAAUACAUGCAAGUCGAGCGAACAGACGAGGAUCUUGCUCCUCUGACGUUAGCGGCGCACGUGUGAGUAACACGUGUAUCACCUACCUAUCAGACUGGGAUCACUUCGGGAAACCGGCUCUAAUACCGGAUAAUAUAUUGAACCGCAUGGUUCAAUAGUGAAAGACGGUUUUGCUGUCACUUCUAGAUGGAUCCGCGCCGCAUUAGCUAGUUGGUAAGGUAACGGCUUACCAAGGCAACGAUGCGUAGCCGACCUGAGAGGGGGAUCGGCGACAGUGGAGCUGAGAGGCGGUACAGGCUCCGACGGGAGGCAGCAGUAGGGAAGCUUCGGAAAUGGGCGAAAGCCUGACGGAGCAGCGCCGCGCGAGUGAAGAAGGGCUGCGGAUCGUAAAACGCUGUUAUUAGGGAAGAACAAAUGUGUAAGUAACGAAGCACGACCUGACGGAACCGAAACAGAAAGCCACGGCAAACUACGG